GUCUUGCAGAGUAUCCUUCCCAAGUUGCAGUAACCAGCGUGGAUGUGAAGGGACACGACAGUUCCCCUGCUGUACCAUGGGCGACCUACUUGUGAUGUGGACCUGAACCUCCGCCAUGUAGCAGACACCCCCCCUCAGGUCUUGCGGAAUAUCCUUCCCAAGUUGCAGUAACCAGCGUGGAUGUGAAGGGACACGACAGUUCCCCUGCUGUACCAUGGGCGACCUACUUGUGAUGUGGACCUGAACCUCCGCCAUGUAGCAGACACCCCCCCUCAGGUCUUGCGAAGUAUCCUUCCCAAGUUGCAGUAACCAGCGUGGAUGUGAAGGGACACGACAGUUAGAGAUGAGCGGGUUCGGUUCCUCGGAAUCCGAACCCCCCCGAACUUCAGCCUUUUUACACGGGUCCGAGGCAGACUCGGAUCUUCCCGCCUUGCUCGGCUAACCCGAGCGCGCCCGAACGUCAUCAUCCCGCUGUCGGAUUCUCGCGAGGCUCGUAUUCUAUCGCGAGACUCGGAUUCUAUAUAAGGAGCCGCGCGUCGCCGCCAUUUUCACACGUGCAUUGAGAUUGAUAGGGAGAGGACGUGGCUGGCGUCCUCUCCGUUAGAAUAGAUAGAGACACUUGAGUUGAUUACUUAGUAAUUUUGGGGAGCAUUAGGGAGUACUCAGAGUGCAGAGUUUUGCUGAUAGUUACUAGUGACCACCACCAGUUUUAUUUAUUAUUUAAUAUAAUCCGUUCUCUGCCUGAAAAAAAACGAUACACAGUCACAUACCAUAUCUGUGCUCAGCCUCAGUGUGCUGCAUGAUAAUAUCAUCUAUAUGUAUAUCUGACUGUGCUGAGUGCUCACUACCUGCAGUAGUGAUAUAUAUAUAUAUAUAUAUAUUUUUUAUAUCAUUAUCAUCUCUAUACUAGCAGACGCAGUACGGUAGUCCACGGCUGUAGCUACCUCUGUGUCGUCAGUGCU